AAGGACUUUGAAAAGAGAGUCAA
rnacentral:snRNA from 1 species